GUAGGGUGCAAGCGUUAAUCGGAAUUACUGGGCGUAAAGCGUGCGCAGGCGGUUUUGUAAGACAGAGGUGAAAUCCCCGGGCUCAACCUGGGAACUGCCUUUGUGACUGCAAGGCUGGAGUGCGGCAGAGGGGGAUGGAAUUCCGCGUGUAGCAGUGAAAUGCGUAGAUAUGCGGAGGAACACCGAUGGCGAAGGCAAUCCCCUGGGCCUGCACUGACGCUCAUGCACGAAAGCGUGGGGGGAGCAAACAGGAUUAGAUACCCUGGUAGUCCACGCCCCUAAACGAUGUCAACUGGUUGUUGGGUCUUCACUGACUCAGUAACGAAGCUAACGCGUGAAGUUGACCGCCCUGGGGAGUACGGCCGCAAGGUUG
rnacentral:rRNA from 1 species